rfam:Postia placenta Mad-698-R POSPLscaffold_236_Cont7406, whole genome shotgun sequence.
GCCCGCCUAGCUCAAUCGGAUAGAGCGUCAGACUCUUACGAGCACGGACGAAAGUCCUCAGGCGGAAUCUGAAGGCUGCGAGUUCGACCCUCGCGGUGGGCU